AAAUAUUGGCAAGUAACCCACUGUUAACACCGGGACAUAUUCGUGAACAACGAAAAUCAAGGGACGACAAUGGUUCGACCUAAUAGGAUAGAAAGAGUGGUCAAAUCUUAAAAAAAAUUGAUAUGACCAAAGCUCAAUAAAUCAUAACACUGCUUGCAAAGUUUCAUAACAAUAGGAUAUAUAUUAUAGACAAUAUGUUAAACUCUAUACUCU
rnacentral:lncRNA from 1 species